rnacentral:rRNA from 1 species
AUUGAACGCUGGCGGCAGGCCUAACACAUGCAAGUCGAACGAGUGGCGGACGGGAGAGUAAUGCAUGGGAAUCGAGGUUGUGGAGGGGGAUAACUACGGGAAACUGUAGCCAAUACCGCGUACAAUAGGAUGAGCCCAAGUGGGAUUAGCUAGUUGGUGAGGUAAAGGCACACCAAGCCGACGAUCUCUAGCUGGUCUGAGAGGAUGACCAGCCACACUGGAACUGAGACACGGUCCAGACUCCUACGGGAGGCAGCAGUGGGGAAUAUUGCGCAAUGGGCGCAACCUGAUGCAGCCAUGCCGCGUGAGUGAAGAAGGCCUUCGGGUUGUAAAGUUCUUUCGGUUGCGAGGCGUUACCUACAGAAGAAGCACCGGCUAACUCCGUGCCAGCAGCCGCGGUAAUAC